rnacentral:lncRNA from 1 species
GAGAAUAUGUCUCUUUCUAUAGUAAACAUUGAUCAGUGUUUGACCUGUCUAGAGGAUCAGUAUAACAACAGAUAUCAAGCACAUUCUCUCAAAAAUGUUGAGCCUUUUCUUGCUUAUGUUGACCUCUUGAUCAUGGAAAUUACUGGCUUGGGUAUAUGCAUCUCUGCUCUUAUAGCAGGCGUAUGCUGUGUCUUCUUGAAAUGCAGAGAAACUUCCAUGGUCAAGGCCAAUAAAGAAAUGUUCAUGUGGAGGUCAUCUGUAUCUUGGCCUCCAGUGCAAGACUACUCCUUUGAGACUUUGCCUCAAAAUGCUACAGUAUUUUAUAAAGUCCACAGAAAAUUUCUUUUUAUAAAUUCAGGAAAACACGUUCUAAAAUU